GCAAGUGGAGUAGGAGGAGAAGCUUCCUUGUGAGGACGUAAUAAUGGCUGCUGCGGGUUUUCUUUCUUGUCGGAGAUACCCAUGAGAGAGAACUCAAGCAAUGCAGAGAUGGCCGUGUUGGUGGCAGCAGCAGCAGAUGAUGAGAUUAAGGUUGGUGUGUUGUCGACGGUUGUUGUUGUGGACGAACAGUGGUCCUGUGUGGUCCUGCUUGAGUUGUUAUUGGACUCGUUCUGGCGUCUGCGUUUGUAUUGGAGUAGAGGUAGCGGAGCUUCUUUGUUGAGAACGCAUAAAGGAGGAGGACGGUCAUCUUCUUCUUCUGCAUGCUCACGUUUGAGUGCUUCCUCAACUUCAUCAUUAUGCUUAUUGUUGUUAUUCUCCUGCGGAAUGAUGGCUUUCUCAUCAUGAUUCUGAUGGUUAAUUUCGACAUCCAUUGGAGUAGCAUCUCUUGGUGUCUCGUUGAUGUUAAUGAGAGCCUUGCUUGCUGACUGAAAUUCAGAGAGAGUACAGUUAUAUGAGCCCCAGAAGGCACCAAUAACUGAAACCAAAUGCUUCAUAACUGAAACCAAAUGCUUAAGCCAACUUAACAGAUGAAGAUCAUAACUGAACUUUCACCAAAACACAACAAAUCUUUUUCAUUUUGAUCAACAUUCAUUUAUCGAUUAAGUGAGUUCAUAUGAUGCAAAAUGGCAAGCGCUGCUCAAACGAGGAUACUAAGUUUAAACGAUCUUGUAAUGAAAACGAUUGUGAAUAAAUCCAUCCCAAAAAAAGGACCUAAGAAAUUUAGAUAUCUUGUGAACCAAGAGAGGUAACUCAUCAGAUAAAUCUUUAAGGUGGAUUUCUACAAGUGUUGGUUACAGACUCGAAGUUCAUGUAACUCAGCCAACUGAAAUAGUACGUAGAGAAGCUUCACUUCAACAAGAAGUUCUUGCAUAUAAGAAAUUUUGACACUUGCAUUUAAUAAAAACUGAAGUAGUAGAUUGGUUCAUCAAUAGACUAGUCCAUUUUUAAGGUGGUUUCAUCACAGAGAUUUUGCACAUAAGAAAUACUGAAAUGAAACUAAUCAGUUUCUGGGUUACUAAGGAAGCACAAACCUCGUCCAUGUGAUUGUUUCCAUUGGCUAGUGGUAGCGGUUCAACCCUGAGCCUAACGUCCACUCCAGGAAUCAGAGCUCCUUCAUCAUCAGCCCAUUCCUCUUCCAUGAACGGCGCAUAUCUGUUCCCACUUGGUGGCCCAAUGUUAUUCUUGUGGAACACUCUGCACAACACAUACGCAUCUUGCUGCACACCCAGACAAAGGAUUGAGUUAAGACUUAAGACAGGAUGUUAACUUGGGAUUCUUUUGACAAUAUACCAAUCCGAAAGUAAGUAACUGUUUUGGGACAAAACUAUACCACCAGGUUUCCAUUUUUCUCGGUUUCAUAUUCCACGAGGCGAUACUCGUGCAUGACCCAAUUGGUCCGGAGCCCGUCUGGGGCACGCCCGCUGUGGAAAACAAGCGUCUUUUUCAUACCGAGCAACUGAAUGUCACGGCGGAUUUCUCUGUCCUUUCCUGUUGCUUUCCAGUAUCCUUUGUUAGUUGCUCGGUUCAUUCUAGCACCGUUCCCAUACUUCUUAUCUAACGCACUGAAGAAGUACCACUCUUGGUCCCUCGUCUUCAACCUCGAAAACACUGGAACACAGCAGAAGAGAAAAUCAAACUAGGCAUAAUAACACUAAACUUAGAACUUGAGAUACACACAACAAGAAACUUCAUGUCCUGAAACACAAGCAAACUAAAGUGGAGCACAAGUUAGCAAGAAAUCCUUAGGGGAGCUGAAAGACACAACACACCAAAUGACAAAAAAUGAAACCGGACUUAAUAACAUUAAACACAGCACUUCAGAUAAACCAAUCGCAGAACAACAGACUUCAUUUCCUGAAACACAAGCAAACAAAACUGAAGCACAAGAUAGCAGGAAAUUCUUAAGGAAUCUGGAUGAAAAAAAAAACUAGAUUUUGCCAAGUUAAUAAGUCGAUUGGAAGUAAUUCUUUGAGCCUAAACAUAGCGAAGGGAACUAACAGAGAAUCUGCAACAAAAUCAUCCCAGAAAAUGAAUCGGCGCCCAUCAAAGCAAAAACCUUUCUCCCAGAAUUGAGUCAGAAGACGAACAAGCGAAGAAGCCCAGGCCACGAACAAUCACAAGCAACAAAUUUCACUCUCACAGAAAAAACCCAAUUCAUACAGAUACCCAAAAUGAAAGAGAAAGAUACAGUAACUGAGCAGACCUGCUAAAUCCCAGGGCUCAUGCUUGUAAAUAUCGACCUCCCCAAUCGCAUCGAAACGUACGGGUUUGCUCAGAACCUUUCGCUUCAAGUAAUAGCUCACAAGUUCCUCAUCAGUCGGAUGAAAUCGGAAGCCAGGAGCAAGCGCCGUCGCCGCCGCAGUACUCGGAGCAGUCGCUGAUGGCGGCGAGGACAGAGCAGCCACAGAUUCGCGACCCAUUAAAGCAAAGACCGUACUUGUUCUAGGGUUUCUUCUAAAUCUCUCUUUCCCCAAACCUCACCAGACGAACACCCAACAGAGAAAUGUUGGGAAAAUGGGUUUUUUUGAUAUGAUGGAGAAAGAAACCAAAAGAGAGGAAGCCCAAGAUUAAAGGUACCUUCAAUUGCAAGAAAUUUAUUUCUUUUUGCUUUUCUCAGAAGGCUUAAAAACAAAAUUUCGGAUUGCAAUUGAAUUGGAUUGUUCUCAUUUUUUCUUUUUUUUAAGAGUGUUGCAAUAAUAAACCCUAGCAAAUGUUACUGCAUAGGUUUUGUCGUAUUAUGUAAUAAAAUGAAAGAAAUGAAAGAAUGCUGUCGUGUCUUGUGGUCUCAAAGUAAUUUUACAAUCUUUCAUCUCCUAAAGUAGAAUUACAGUCUAAGAGGUAAUUCUGCAAAGAAACUUUUCCAGAAAUGAAUCUGAGCCCAUAAAGAUAAACCAUUUUUCGGGAAUUAAAUCAGAAGACUAAAGCCCGCAAAGAAGCUAAAACCACAGAAAUCUCAAAUCACAAGCUAUAAUAGACGCACAAACUCGUAAAUGAGAUACACAAACAAUAAAUUUUGAAACAAAAUGCUAAACAUAGACAAAUUCCGUAUAACAUAAAUCAAAAAUCCACCCAAUUUAAUAAAACCCUAUGAAAUCCCAUUAUUACAAUAUAAAACCAUUCCAAAAUUAAUACGUUUGUACAAAAAAUGUACUCUGAUAAUAUUUCUUUUUUGAAACAUAUGUAUACCCAAAAUGAAAAGGUGUUUUUAAAAAUUAAAAUAAACUAAAAGAAUAAGAUAAUUUUUGUACAAUAAUCUUAGAAGCUUGUAGAUUAAGCUUUGAUAAUAAGAUGCACCAAAAAAACAUAUUCUUACAUGGGUUCUGCAGCUGCAAAUCAGAUAAUUUAUGGUCUAUAUCAUUGGCUCCAUUAUGGCUAGCCAAACCGCCAAGUAAAUACGGCCAGGCUAAGUAGUGGUCCACUCAUAGCCACCCAUCACUAAGUCUAUAAAGAAAUUAAUGAGGUUUUUGUCAAUAAUCCAUCACCGAUCAUAUCGAAUAAUAAAACAUAUAAAAACAAAUUAAAUAUUAUAUAGAAAUAAAGAUUUUAGAAUUCUGAAAAACUAAGAAAAAGAGGACCACGAACCAAUGGGAACUAAGCAAUUGUUGAAAAGUUAUAAGUGAAAGUUUACUUGUGUUUUGCUUUCAAUAUCUCUAUCUAACUGUGUCCAAGAAAGUAUUUAUAUAUUGAGGGUGUUGUGACAAUGUUUGAACAACAUCUAUUGGAUAGACAAAACAAAAUUUGGGACAAGAUUUUAAUCCGAAUUUGUUGAGAUAGUUGUUUAGCUCAAGUUUAUAUACAGUAUUUCCCUUUUUAAUUAAUUUCUUUAGCAAAUAACUUGUUUAAAAGAAAUUGAAUUGAAGUAUACAUAUAUAUUAUUUGAAAAAGUGGAGGCCUUAUCGUACCAAACCUUUUUGCUUUUUAAAAUAAUUGCAAAUUACGUCUAACAAAAGUCUUCUAACGUCGUUGACGGGAACUACAUUAAUAAGUAAAUCGUAACGCUAUCCAAAUUGUUAAAUCACGGUUAUAUCCUGACCUAUCAUUAAUCACGAUGACCUAUCAUUAAUCACGAGGAGACGUAAGAAGCUCUCUUCUCAUUUCUCAUGGAGACGGAAAACAUAUGAAUUAUGAAAGAGCUCAUAAUUCAUAAUCAGUAAGAUUACAGCUUCAAGGCAAAUUGAAACGACAAUUAUGUCCUAAAAGCAGACCACUAUUUAUAAUAACGGUAAAUCAGGGAGAUUGAACAUUCCUUAGACAAAUUAAAUAGUGUUCUUGACAGAAAGACUAGAUGACAAUAUACGACAGAAAGACUAGAUGACAAUAUAUGACAAUGGAGCAACCUGAAAUUGAUUUCAAAAGAUGCAUAAACAUCAGAAAAAAAAAAGGAAAGAUAAGAAAGCACCGGGACCGGUUUUCAAUCGAAGAAGCUACAUAGAAACUAGAAAGCUCAUAAUACUGGGGGGAGAUUACAGCUCUAAAAGGCAAAGAAGAAGAAGAAAUCUGGAGAGAUGGUUUUAGAGCAUUUCUUGUCCCUUGGCGUUGUUCUUCCUCAGCUCAUCGUUCUCCUGGCGCAGUGCAUCGAUCCUUGACUGGAGAAUGCUGAUCAUAGCCUCUGCACUCAUCAUCUCAAGCUUGAAAGUUUCUCUCUCAACAGACAUCUGAUGAAUCUCUUUCUGGAGAUCAUUGAGCUUCUCUUCUGGAGAUGCAAGUGGAGUAGGAGGAGAAGCUUCCUUGUGAGGACGUAAUAAUGGCUGCUGCGGGUUUUCUUUCUUGUCGGAGAUACCCAUGAGAGAGAACUCAAGCAAUGCAGAGAUGGCCGUGUUGGUGGCAGCAGCAGCAGAUGAUGAGACCAAGGUUGGUGUGUUGUCGACGGUUGUUGUUGUGGACGAACAGUGUUCCAGUGUGGUCAUGCUUGAGUUGUUGUUAGACUCGUUCUGGCGUCUGCGUUUGUAUUGGAGUAGAGGUAGCGGAGCUUCUUUGUUGAGAACGCAUAAAGGAGGAGGACGAUCCUCUUCAUCUGCGUGCUCACGUUUGGGUGCUUCCUCACCUUCAUUACAUUGGUUAUUCUCAUCAUGAUUCUGAUGGUCCAUUGGAGUAGUCUCAUUUGGUG
rnacentral:lncRNA from 1 species